UCUAAUGCCUUUGGGAAGUUG
rnacentral:piRNA from 1 species